UUUAUGGAGAGUUUGAUCCUGGCUCAGGAUGAACGCUGGCGGCGUGCCUAAUACAUGCAAGUCGAGCGAACAGAUAAGGAGCUUGCUCCUUUGACGUUAGCGGCGGACGGGUGAGUAACACGUGGGUAACCUACCUAUAAGACUGGAAUAACUCCGGGAAACCGGGGCUAAUGCCGGAU
rnacentral:rRNA from 1 species